GACGAACGCUGGCGGCGUGCCUAACACAUGCAAGUCAACUUGAGGGAAGGAGCAAUCUGACCUGAUGGUGGCGCAAAGGGUGCGUAACGCGUAAGUAACUUGCCCUAGGUAAGGAAUAACGUCGAGAAAUCGGCGCUAAUACCUCAUAAUGCAGCGGAUCCGCAUGGAUAUGUUGUUAAAGGUUUACCGCCUUGGGAUAGGCUUGCGUCUGAUUAGCUAGUUGGUGUGGUAAUGGCACACCAAGGCUACGAUCAGUAACUGGUCUGAGAGGAUGAUCAGUCACACUGGAACUGAGACACGGUCCAGACUCCUACGGGAGGCAGCAGUUGAGG
rnacentral:rRNA from 1 species